UACGGGGGGGUCAAGCGUUGUUCGGAAUUACUGGGCGUAAAGGGUGCGUAGGCGGCUUUCUAAGUCGGAUGUGAAAACUCUGGGCUCAACCCAGAGCCUGCAUCCGAAACUGGAGAGCUAGGGUUCUGAAGGGGAAAGCGGAAUUCCUGGUGUAGCGGUGAAAUGCGUAGAUAUCAGGAGGAACACCGGUGGCGAAGGCGGCUUUCUGGACAGAUACCGACGCUGAGGCACGAAAGCUAGGGGAGCAAACAGG
rnacentral:rRNA from 1 species